UGAAUACGAGAUGCUACGGCGUCGAAGCAGUCUAUGUCAUACUUCCGAGAAAAGCUUGCACUGUCAUAAACAAAUAAUGCCCUACCAUAACCGACACAGGUGGGUAGGUAGAGUAUACUAAGGGGCGCGAGAUAACUCUCUCUAAGGAACUCGGCAAAAUGACUCCGUAACUUCGGGAGAAGGAGUGCCUUAUUUUAUAAGGUUGCAAUAACAAGAUCCAAGCAACUGUUUACCAAAAACACAGGUCUCCGCUAAGUCGUAAGACGAUGUAUGGGGGCUGACGCCUGCCCAGUGCCAGAAGGUUAAAGAAGUUGGUUAGCAUCCGCGAAGCUGAUAACUGAAGCCCUGGUGAACGGCGGCCGUAACAAUAACGGUCCUAAGGUAGCGAAAUUCCUUGUCGGGUAAGUUCCGACCCGCACGAAAGGCGUAAUGAUUUGGAUACUGUCUCAGAGAGGGGCUCGGUGAAAUAGACUUGUCUGUGAAGAUGCGGACUACCUGCACCAGGACAGAAAGACCCUAUGAAGCUUUACUGUAACUUGAAAUUGAAAUUGGACUUUACUUGCGUAGUAUAGGUGGGAGGCGUUGAGAAUAUUCUUGCGGGAAUGUUGGAGCCAUCAGUGAGAUACCACUCUUGUAAUGUUAGAUUUCUAACUUUGUAUCAUUAUCUGGUCAAAGGACAGUUUCAGGCGGGCAGUUUGACUGGGGCGGUCGCCUCCCAAACGGUAACGGAGGCGCACAAAGGUUUCCUCUGAAUGGGUAGAAAUCGUAUCUAGAGUGUAAAGGCAUAAGGAAGCUUGACUGUGUGACCUACAAGUCGAGCAGGGACGAAAGUCGGUCUUAGUGAUCUGACGGUGCUGAGUGGAAAGGCCGUCACUCAACGGAUAAAAGUUACUCUAAGGAUAACAGGCUGAUCUCCCCCAAGAGUUCACAUCGACGGGGAGGUUUGGCACCUCGAUGUCGGCUCAUCGCAUCCUGGGGCGGUAGUACGUCCCAAGGGUUGGGCUGUUCGCCCAUGAAAGCGGUACGCGAGCUGGGUUCAGAACGUCGUGAGACAGUUCGGUCCAUAUCCGGUGUAGGCGUUAGAAUAUUGAGAGGAGCCUUCUUUAGUACGAGAGGACCGAGAAGGACAUACCUCUGGUGUACCAGUUAUCGUGCCAACGGUAAACGCUGGGUAGCUAUGUAUGGAGUGGAUAACCGCUGAAAGCAUCUAAGUGGGAAGCCCACCUCAAGAUAAGUAUUCUCAU
rnacentral:rRNA from 1 species